CUACGCGGCAACGUUGGAAGCGCGCGCUCUACUUUGCCAGAAGGCGGUUUCUGAAACCAAGCUCUGCUUCCAUCGUUCGACGAGGUGCCAUCGGAUAGGAUUUUGUUGGAGACUGAUGCACCCUAAGCACUUCCCAAGUCAAAGUUAGACUCUCUAUUUGGUUGAAGGCGAUCCUUCCCUUCCUGAAUGUCUUAAGACCCGAGAACAAUCUGCCCCAACAGGCUCACAAAAAAAGUACAUUCGUUGUUCUUUUACAGAUGCAUCAAUGCUGCCAAAAGAGAUUCUCAAUCACCCAGCAGACAUCCAAAAUUAAAGAAGAACUUGCUGAAUUGAAUUAUGGAAAUGUGGCGCAUUUAUUCUCUUUCAAAGGUCUACAAACUUCCCGGGGAAGAGUCCAAAUAUUUAGCAAUGAACAGUUCAAUCUGGAGCUGUAAGGUCAUCAGAUGAGCUAAGAGAUGAGCAGCGCCAGGUAAUUUCUUUGCUGAAGUCUACCUCUC